UGUGAGUUUGGAACCUGGCUCAGAUUGAACGCUGGCGGCAUGCCUUACACAUGCAAGUCGAACGGUAACAGGUCUUCGGAUGCUGACGAGUGGCGAACGGGUGAGUAAUACAUCGGAACGUGCCCGAUCGUGGGGGAUAACGAGGCGAAAGCUUUGCUAAUACCGCAUACGAUCUACGGAUGAAAGCGGGGGAUCUUCGGACCUCGCGCGGACGGAGCGGCCGAUGGCAGAUUAGGUAGUUGGUGGGAUAAAAGCUUACCAAGCCGACGAUCUGUAGCUGGUCUGAGAGGAUGAUCAGCCACACUGGGACUGAGACACGGCCCAGACUCCUACGGGAGGCAGCAGUGGGGAAUUUUGGACAAUGGGCGAAAGCCUGAUCCAGCCAUGCCGCGUGCAGGAUGAAGGCCUUCGGGUUGUAAACUGCUUUUGUACGGAACGAAAAGCCUCUUUCUAAUAAAGAGGGGUCAUGACGGUACCGUAAGAAUAAGCACCGGCUAACUAC
rnacentral:rRNA from 1 species